rnacentral:tRNA from 1 species
CCCGCCACCAGGCGGGGGCCGGCGGCGGUCGCCGUCGCGCCCGGUACGGCGGAAGGGCUCAUCACGGGUUCCGGUCCUCGGGCGGCGGGAC